ensembl:lncRNA
GAUGUCCCUCCCAGUUGACUACUUAAAAAUGGUGAAAGUCCUCAAUAGCGCUUGGGGGACUAGAGUCCUCUAUCUAUCUCUAUGGAUAGGGGGACAGGGAGACUGGAUAGGCAGUUGGUUUUGGGGAUUCGCACUGUUGACCCGACGUCACAAUCGGUGGGGGUUAUAAAAAUCCCCUGAAUUUAUACUGCAGUCAUUCGCAGUGAGAAAAGCCGUAGACAAAGCAGUCACACCGUAGAUAAUUGGAACAGAGACAGCCAACAAAAUGACGACCGUUUACAUUGGAUUCCUUCUCCUUGCCAUGCUUUUUUCAUCACAGGUCCAUGCGCAGAACACUACCACACAGUCCCUUCCUACGAAUGUGACCAAAGCUGACUUCACGAAUUCCUCGAUGCUCAACGUCAGUACCACGAACGUCAGUACCACGAACGUCAGUACCACGAACGUCAGUACCACGAACGUCAGUACCACGAACGUCAGUACCACGAACGUCAGUACCACGAACGUCAGUACCACGAAUGUCUCCAUUCCUCAAGGAGCCAGUGUGACCUUGCAGUCCAGUGCAUUCACGCUCCUCAUCCCUGUGGUGGGCUCGCUCCUACAGGGCUGCUUCUAGAGGGUUCAUCUGCACUGAACAAAAGCCAAGACUAACAUCGGCAGCCUAGAUGUGCAAAUGUUUUACAAAGAGCACAUUAAUUCUCGGAAGGUAGACAUUUGCGCACCUAAGCUGCGGGAUUCGGCGGCAUGGGCAAAAACACUACUUUGUGCUCGCACCUCCUGGCUGCUUCAAACCGUAGGCCUACACUCUGCUCACUGGCCCCAAGGCCAUGGCCUGGCAACAAGCUGUCUCACUGCAGAAUGGGACAUUUGUCCAUAUACCUUUUUGAGGUUUAGGCAUUAAUUCACAAAUGGGUAAGGUUUGGGAUAGGGUCAAGUCAUUUAAAGUGCCUAGCACUGGGAUUGAACACAUGACUAAUUAAUGGUAAUAGUGCUCACCGUUGCCCCUAGUGGCCAAUUUUGAAGUAAUCUCCUGACAUCCUGCUUACCUGGAAAGAUGUCUAAUUUUGCAGUGGUUCUUUAGUGACCUGGCUGUUGCCUCCAUGGAGGCAGGCCAUGAGGCUCUAUUAAACUCUAUUCUUUGACUCAAUAUUGUGUAAUUGCAGACUGCAAUUCAUGGGGUUUCUGGAUAUCAGGAGAAGCACAUUGGUGCCUGGUUUUCCUGGUAAAACACCCUGAAUUUGUCAGUUCUGGUGUUGAGACCGUUUCUUGACAUUUGUUUACAAGGCAGGUAAGGAUAGUUAACGUGGUCGGUAAGGAUAGUUAACGUGGUCGGUUAGGUGACUUUGUGUGCCAGGUUAGGAGAAUGAGGUAAAGUGUUAGCUUUAGAUACUGUUGUCCCCAACGUGAACUACAUGGCCACGGACCAGUGGUGCGCGUCAAAGUGCGUUUCUUAAUCAAGUUACGCCCCUACUCCUUUGCUUCACUUGGUCCCACUGUUCCUGAUUUCAGACAGCAGAGUUUAUCUUGUGUACAUUUUGGCUGUGCCUGGGGAAAUCAGCAACUGUUUGAGGUGCAUUGGAAAAUAACAGCCUAUAUUUGUCUGAUCUGUGGCACUUAUGUCCUUAACAGUGCUAUUCUUAAUCCUGCAACUGCAAUGGAUACUUUGUCAGAGGCUUGAUGUAGCCUACACUUGUGAUGAACUUAUUGCAUUUUAUAUUGUAAACAUGUGACUUAUGUAAGUCAGUGAUGCUUUUAGAUCUCUUUAUGUCAGGUUCAAUAAAGCUUUGAAAUGUGUUUGUCAUGAUUAAUAUUUAAUGUCCUUGUACAAUAAAAUAUGACAUUUAAUAUAACUAACUUAUCCUGUCAAUUCCAAAGCUUGGCAUUCAUUGGCUUUUCUUGUCUGUCUUACAAAUCCAAUGCUGCAGGUCUUUCUCAAAUGACUGGUUAACAAUUGUGCCUUACAGAGUUUUCUAUUGCUGCUUAGCAAAGGGCAAUUUUUGCUAGAACUGUUGGGGGAAAAUCUGUUAAUGGGUCACCAUAGAAAUCCAUGCUGUCUUCAAAUGGCACUUACACCAACUUCUGUGGCAAGGCCUAACAUUAAG